CUGCAGUCUUUAGCCACAGGCGUUCCCUCAAUUCCUCUUGCAGGUGCUCCAGGAACCAGGUAGUGACGAACUGGGUCUGAGUUGCACUUCCUAAAAGUCAGCACAGCAGAGGAGAUCCAGGCAGUGCCAGCAGUCAAGGUUACCAGGGGACAAACCCCUUAGGAAGACAGGCAACCUGUGAGGCCCUAGAGCACCACCUUACGAGAAGAGCUGUCUGUUGGAUCCCAUCAUCCAUAUCCCUGUUGAUAGGUUUAC
rnacentral:lncRNA from 13 species